CUUCUCCUCUUCCAAAAAUUGGCUCUGCAAUUGAUGUCUAGGCUCUUUUUCUUUGGUAUCAUAAGACCAAAGAAAAUAAAUCUUCAAGACAAAUCAUGAUGAGUUUAUUGAUGAUUUGUUUUUAGAUACGAAAGAAAAAAAUCUAGAAAGAUCUGUCGGUGUCUUAGAGAUGAAAAGAGAAGAUAUUUUGCAAAUCAAGAGUUUUAGAGAUUCAGAGACGAAGAAAAUCUUAGAAGACACAGAAGAAAUGUAAAGCUCCGGUAGUCUCCGUUUCUGGUCAACACGGCUGGUCAAGAUGGGUCAAUACGGUGAAUGAUUAUUUUUAUUCCGGUUCAAUGAUCCAACGAUCAUGGUUUAUUGGAUAUUUCAGCAGUACUGCUAUAAAUUGAUAACGGUUAGGGGUUUUUGAGUUGCCCGGCUCUUCUCUAGAAAGGAAUUAGUAGAAAUCUGCACAAGUAUUUGUUGAUUUACAGCAACCACCGGGGAUACUCAUCUGAAUCCCUCUGUAUUCUGGAAUUAAUAGAAAUCUGCACAAGCAUUAACACCGGGGAUACUAUCUGAAUCUACUCUAUAUUUUGAUCAUGGAGGCUGCUUUACGUCUAAGGCAUAUUCAGUGUAAGAACCUACAAAAGCGUCAAAAGUAUACAUCAAAACUUUUCCCCAGCCUACACUAGGGGUGCAGGCAGAGUUGAAUGGCGUUAUUGAUGGCUGCCAGCUUGUCUGCGCGGAUUUUGGUAUCAAUGUCCCAACUGCCCCAGCCGACGAGUUUCAUGAGAACAUGGAAAUAGCCUUAAAGAAGCCUAAGAGUAGGAAGAAUUCGUCUGUGAAGCUCUACCGUCAGCUGAAGCCAGUUUUAGAUGCUUAUUACGUAGCAUUUCAGACUGAGAGGGACGCCUUGCUGCUCUUGCUGGAGUAAAUUAGCUGUUGACUUUACACUGGGAGGAGUGUUUCUUAUAUUGCAAAGUUCCCUGAAGUUUGCCCGGGAUGACUGAAUUUUUGUUUGUUGAAAUAUAGUUUUACACACUUACUGCCACUUUGUGAAAUUUUCGCGAACCUUCUACUUAAAAUGAGGUUAAGAGUGUUCUGUUACAAUACUGCUUUCCUAUGUACAACUGUGUUUUGUUAAAUGAUGCUGGUCAACUAGUCUAUGCAUUGUGCCAUUGUCGGAAUUCUGUGAAACUGUGUUUUAAAACUCAAGACUUUGUUAAGUUUCAAGCCAGGAAUCUGCUUCAGAUCUUGUUUUUG